ensembl:lncRNA
UGGUGGUGGUGUGGGCUGCCAUGGUGGUGGUGGUGGUGGUGGAGUGGGCUGCCAUGGUGGUGGUGGUGGUUUAGGCUACCAUGGUGGUGGUGGUGGUGGUGUGGGCUACCAUGGUGGUGGUGGUGGUGGUGGUGGAGUGGGCUGCCAUGGUGGUGGUGUGGGCUACUAUGGUAGUGGUGGUGGUGUGGGCUACCAUGGUAGUGGUGGAGGUGUGGGCUACCAUGGUGGUGGCGGUAUGGGCUACCAUGGUGGUGGUUGUGUGGGCUACCAUGGUGGUGGUGGUGUGGGCUACCAUGUUGGUGGAGGUUGUGUGGGCUACCACGGUGGUGGUGGUGUGGGCUAACGUAUUGGUGGAUGUGUGGGCUACCGUGGUGGUGGUGGUGUUGGAUAUUCCGUGGUGGUGGUGGUGUGGGCUACUGUGGUAGUGGUGUGGGCUACCAUGGUGGAGGUGGUGUGGGCUACCAUGGUGGUAGUGUGGGCUACCGUGGUGGUGGUGGUGGUGGUGUGGGCUACCGUGGUGGUGGAGGUGGUGUGGGCUACAGUGGUGGUGGUGUGGGCAACCAUGGUGGUGGUGGUGUGGGCUAACAUGGUGGAGGUGUCGUG